UACCGGCGGCUCGAGUGGUGGCCACUAUUACUGGGCUUAAAGCGUUCGUAGCUGGCUUGUUAAGUCUCUGGGGAAAUCUUCCGGCUCAACCGGAAGGCGUCUCAGGGAUACUGGCAGGCUAGGGACCGGAAGAGGUGAGAGGUACUCCAGGGGUAGGAGUGAAAUCCUGUAAUCCUUGGGGGACCACCUGUGGCGAAGGCGUCUCACCAGGACGGCUCCGACAGUGAGGAACGAAAGCUGGGGGAGCAAA
rnacentral:rRNA from 1 species